rnacentral:rRNA from 1 species
UAGGGAAUCUUCCGAAAUGGACGCAAGUCUGACGGAGCAACGCCGCGUGAGUGAAGAAGGAUUUCGGUUCGUAAAACUCUGUUGUUAGAGAAGAACAGCGCAUAGAGUAACUGUUAUGCGUGUGACGGUAUCUAACCAGAAAGCCACGGCUAACUACGUGCCAGCAGCCGCGGUAAUACGUAGGUGGCAAGCGUUGUCCGGAUUUAUUGGGCGUAAAGCGAGCGCAGGCGGUUAGAAAAGUCUGAAGUUAAAGGCAGUGGCUUAACCAUUGUAGGCUUUGGAAACUGUUUAACUUGAGUGCAGAUGGGGAGAGUGGAAUUCCAUGUGUAACGGUUAAAUGCGUAGAUAUAUGGAGGAACACCGGUGGCGAAAGCUGCUCUCUGGUCUGUAACUGACGCUGAGGCUCGAAAGCGUGGUGAGCGAACAGG